rnacentral:rRNA from 1 species
AGUCGAGCGAUGAACCCUUCGGGGUGGAUUAGCGGCGGACGGGUGAGUAACACGUGGGUAACCUGCCUCAAAGAGGGGAAUAGCCUCCCGAAAGGGAGAUUAAUACCGCAUAAUAUGUUUUAAUCGCAUGAUUGAAACAUCAAAGGAGUAAUCCGCUUUGAGAUGGACCCGCGGCGCAUUAGCUAGUUGGUGAGGUAACGGCUCACCAAGGCGACGAUGCGUAGCCGACCUGAGAGGGUGAUCGGCCACAUUGGAACUGAGACACGGUCCAGACUCCUACGGGAGGCAGCAGUGGGGAAUAUUGCGCAAUGGGGGAAACCCUGACGCAGCAACGCCGCGUGAAUGAUGAAGGCCUUCGGGUUGUAAAGUUCUGUCUUCUGGGACGAUAAUGACGAUACCAGAGGAGGAAGCCACGGCUAACUACGUGCCAGCAGCCGCGGUAAUACGUAGGUGGCAAGCGUUGUCCGGAUUUACUGGGCGUAAAGGAUGCGUAGGCGGAUAUUUAAGUCAGAUGUGAAAUACCCGAGCUUAACUUGGGUGCUGCAUUUGAAACUGGGUGUCUAGAGUGCAGGAGAGGUAAGUGGAAUUCCUAGUGUAGCGGUGAAAUGCGUAGAGAUUAGGAAGAACACCAGUGGCGAAGGCGACUUACUGGACUGUAACUGACGCUGAGGCAUGAAAGCGUGGGGAGCAAACAGGAUUAGAUACCCUGGUAGUCCACGCCGUAAACGAUGAUACUAGGUGUCGGGGGUCGAACCUCGGUGCCGCAGUUAACACAAUAAGUAUUCCGCCUGGGGAGUACGAUCGCAGAUUAAACUCAAGGAAUUUGACGGGGGCCCGCACAAGCAGCGAGCAUGUGGUUUAAUUCGAAGCA